UACGAAGGGGGCUAGCGCUGCUCGGAAUCACUGGGCGUAAAAGGUGCGUAGGCGGGUCUUUAAGUCAGGGGUGAAAUCCUGGAGCUCAACUCCAGAACUGCCUUUGAUACUGAGGAUCUUGAGUUCGGGAGAGGUGAGUGGAACUGCGAGUGUAGAGGUGAAAUUCGUAGAUAUUCGCAAGAACACCAGUGGCGAAGGCGGCUCACUGGCCCGAUACUGACGCUGAGGCACGAAAGCGUGGGGAGCAAACAGG
rnacentral:rRNA from 1 species